GAUUCCCCAUAAAAAAAAAAAAUCAGUAAUAAAGCUCACCUGUGUAUCAGCCCGCGUUCUAAUAAAGCUCACCUGUGUAUCAGCCCGCGUUCUAAUAAAGCUCACCUGUGUAUCAGCCCGCGUUCUAAUAAAGCUCACCUGUGUAUCAGGCCACGUUCCUUUAGGAAGAAACACGGAGAUCUAAGGAAUGCGCGCGGCUCAGGGGUGAACUGCGGGUGAUUUUCCCUCUUCUUAUUUGUACUUGUAUGUUCUGAAAAUGUCGUCUAGCUUUUGGGUAGUUCUUACCUGAGAAAAGCCAGACAGCAGGUUUUUGGCGGAAGGACCGGUUUGCACAGCGGACACACGGGAGCUGCCCUCGCGGCUUUCGGAGAAGCCUCCCCCGUGCGGCGCCUCGCGCGCCCUCGUAAGCGCGCCGCGUCUUGGGGCCGCAAGUUCCCCUCGGUUUGGGGGCGGGGUUUCCAGGUCACGUGACCGGGAGACACGCCCCCCCGCCCCGGUCCCUCAGAGCGGCCGGCAGAGGGCGCCCGAGUCCCGGCCUCGCUCGCGCGUUCGGGGCGGCUCCUUCCUCGCGCGCCGCCGGCCACAUCCAGGAGGGGGCGCCGCGAGUCCUCUCCGGCGGCCCCGUCGUGGGCAGCCCGGGGCCGGCUCCUGGGCGUCCGGUUCCGCGCUGGCUGCGUUUCCUGCCCCACCUGCUGGUGUCGGCUCGUGCGUGCCUCCUCCCCUGGGUUAUGGGAAUGGAAUACGGUCUCCAAGUAAUAAAGUGAACAGGCGGCCGGGCAGGGUGACUCACGUCUGUAAUCCCAGCACUUUGGGAGGCGGAGGCGGCCGGAUCACGAAGUCAGGAGUUGGAGACCAGCCUGGCCAAAUGAAACCCCAUCUCUACCAACAAUACAAAAAAAAUUUAAAAAGCUGACCUGGCGCGGUGGCUCACGCCUGUAAUCCCAAGCACUUUGCGAGGCCGAGGCGGGUGGAUCACGAGGUCAGGAGAUCGAGACCAUCCUGGCUAACACCAUGAAACCCCGUCUCUACCAGAAAUACAAAAAAUUAGCUGGGCGUGGUGGCG
rnacentral:lncRNA from 10 species